CUCCGGCCCUCUGUGCCUUUGCCCAUUCUGUGCAUCGCGCCUGCAUCGUCCCUCCCCGGAACUAUGUCUGGUACCCAGUAGGCCCUCAAUAAACAUUUGUUCAAUAAACAAAUGAACUGUGGGGGACAAGGACUGGGCUUUUGAGAUCCAAGAGCCCUGUGGAGCUGGAUAUGGGUUUUGGGAAUGUGGUGAGUGCUGUGCAAUGGUCCUGGGCUCCCUCUGGCUGGCCGGGAGGGACCACAAAAGCUGGUAAGGAGAAGCAGUUGAAUGUUUCUGAACACCUACCAUUGUAGGUGGUGGGCGUUCCUCUAGCAUUGCCUGUUCCUAGAGGAGUUGCUAAUUAAUUAGGAAAUCUAAGGCUGGUGCCUGGCGACAC
rnacentral:lncRNA from 10 species